CACCCAGUGACGGAUCAACCGGACCCAGCGCCCCGGUCCGUUGCGUAAUACCAGCUAAUCGUAUUCCUCGGUUCGACCGGGGAAUCGAAUUAACUCGGGUCCGCGUUCGACGAUGAAAGAACGGUAGUCGAGUGUCAUACUUACGUGGGUACCGUGGCACGACGACGACGCUUCUCGGGGUUUCUUGAAUAAAUAAAGACAGCCGUGAUGAGUUUGAUGGAUUUAUUGAAUCAAUUCGUUACAGACGAUUCUCGUUCGGGUAUCGCUGAUUUGCGCUCGAAUUACGGUAAACGUAACGCUCGCUUCGAGGGAUUUCGGGCGCACUGCGACGUAGAAAAAUUGAUCGCGUUGCGACGCGUUUCGAAUGGAUCCGUGGACGGUGAAACCUGUUCCCUGCGUCGUUGCUUCAGCGGCUAGAUAAUGUUGCUUUUGCAUCCCGGGGAUAAGAAGUGUCGCAGUUAGGUUACUUCGAGGAGAGUUCGUGGGUACCGUGGUAGAGGCAUGCGCUUUUAAGGAACGCGAGAGCUACGUUUCUGAUUCACGGUAUACGUGAGCGUAUCGUUGGGGCCCGUAUCAUUCGUGCGUUACAACAUACUAGUAAUUAUUAUCAAUAUUCAUGGUAGAAAGAGUAUGGGAUACGUUUGCGACGCGAGAUACGGUUCAAAGAACUCGACGGAUAAUUUGCGUACUUGAAUGCCGUGGGAAGAUGAAUAUCGAUCGUCGAUAACUGGAAUGUCGAUUCGAUCGAUAACAUCAUAGUUCGUUUUGCACAUCAUUACGCGCCACUAGCAAUAAUUUUUACUCUGCGAGUCACGCAGAUGUUUUAAAUGCUAACCGAGGUGCAAAUGGUUUCUUAAUUGUCCGGUUAUCGUUGUUAUCAGGGAAAAUAAACUGGAUGUUAUAGAUAAUUGAAUUCUAAUCGACCGCUCACGAUGCAAUUGGAAUGUGAAUGAAAAGCAGAAGUCUGCAUGUCAUUAAAUAAUCAAUAAGGCUAUGCUUUGAUUUCAAGUGGUAAAGGAAGGCCACACGAAUGACAAAAUGUGACUGAUGCAUAAAGUAUAUUACACAAAUCUAAUUAUAAAGGUCAGCUGGUUUAUUUUAAAAUGUCCUGUAGCUGUGCACAAAAGGUGGCCUAUGUGUAAAUUCCUUAUUUACUUUCAACAAAAGCAUAGACUCAAUGCCACUGCACCGGAGGCAGAAUGUUUUGUACAAAUGUCACAUUUGUGGCUGUUACACAAGCUAUUGACACAUUAUGUUACAAUCUUUUUAUUUGAAGGAGAAUUGGACAUAGAACAGGAGACAAAAACAAACACAUGAGGCUGUUCAGGUCAAUGCUAGAUCACUCAUAAUAUAUAUGAGUAUUUAAAAAUAACCUAAUAUAUCUAUCUAAUAUUCUAUUACAUUGUGUAAUCUAUAAUCAAGCAAGAAAUUAAAAAUAACCAACAUAAUAAUGUUUCUGCAACACCCUAAAAUGCUUACACUAAAUCAUGAAAAUUGACAAUAGAGGGAACCGUGUUUUUAUAAUCAGACAGCACACUUUUGUUAGGAAAAGAAAAGCCUUUUAGCUUCUGGAUCAAUUCAGAAGCAAUACUCUUAAAUGUAUUUACCAUUAGGUGUAUUGAACUUUCAUGUGCACACAACUCUCAAGGCCUAUCAGGGCUGAAAUAUGGAACGUUUAUAAAAAUAAAAUACAUAUCCUACUUGUCGACUAAUCGUCCUCAGUCUAGAAAUUAAUUAACUUUAAACAAAUGUUAUAGCAUAUAACGUACGACAAUACAUUAGAAAUAUUUUUCUCUGUACCCGGUUCUAGAACCUACUCGAUGCGACUGCUACGUAGCAAUAUAAUAAAAAGGAAAGCGUGUUAUCGCAACGGUAACUCAUUCCGCGUUAUCAAAUUGGAGAUAAACAAUUAUCUCGUGCCGAAUCGCGUUGGAACGUGUAAGAAACGUAAUGCAACAUACCAAAUGUCAAGACAUGGGUGACCGUCUGUUCUGUGCUGGUAUUCUCAAGGAUUUCCGAGGGUGGGGGUGGCGGUGGAAGUGGUGGCUGCAUGGCGUUCUCCAUUCCCCUCUCGUUCAUCAAGCUUGGAUGUCACUCGCGAUGCAAUCCGAUCUUUUUUUUUAAAGGGAACACAUUUCGCGGAAUGCCCGGCUCGAUGGACCCUCCUCUGUCUAACGAAACGUACUCACGUCUGACCGCAUACGACGACAGACACGCACGAGCAGAUCUCGUUGACGCACGACAGACGAGGGGAAUCGUGUAUUGUCAUGCAUGCGAGCACACCGAUCGUCUAAAUCGUCGCGGGAACCGAUAGUCGAUCAGACAGACGGAUUCACGUUGACAUCGCGUUUUACAUGAUUACCACGCUUUCCGUUCCAUCCGUUUUGACGGGCAACGAAGUAACACGCACGUUUUUGACAACGCGCACCCGCACCGCGCAAUGUACGACUGCGACUGCUUUAGUUGGUGCGUCAGCCGAACCGAGCGAUUAUACCGACUGCAGCAACCAGAUGAUUUUGUUUCGCCGUUAUAGCGAAACAUCUUAAUCAUCUUCUAUUCUUGAAUGUUCAAUCCCUCCCCCUCAAGAGAGAAAAAAAAGAAAAAGAAAUAUCGAACG